GACAAACUGCAGGGUAAUCCGAGACAGGUGCACUAUCUUCUCUGUAAUACUGUCAUUUGGUGUACUUACUCCAGUCGCAGUCGUUGCUGGUGUAUCCUUGAGGUUAGACGUCCACCACUGCCGGCACGGCUCGCCGAGUCUACCAGCGAAAAAUUUCCCAAGAGUCUAAGCGUUGGUCUCGGCAGACAAACACCAGGUUUGAUUAUCGCCCUGUUUACAGCCUACUUUGCCAGACGACAGACAAGCAGACGAUGAGUGGAGUUCACUUCAGCCCCUGAGUAGAGUCGUGUAAAGCAGGGGGUGUGCUGACAGACAACAAAUUAGACAGGUACCCAGGCAACAUGUGCCAAGGGCCACCCUCUUCUCUCCUGCUCACACAAUGACGAGGACGUACAUGUCAGAGGUUUGAGAGGCAGCAACGAAGCCGAGUUUUGUUUUGAAUCUAAUAAAUAAAGGUAUGGAUGAAGAUGUUUGUUUGUUUAUAUAUACGUGAGUGUUUUUGAGUUAGAAGAAGUUACGCUCUUAUGCACAGGAAAAGUUGCAGUUGAGUUGAAGGAUAACAAAGACAAUUUUCCUACAAAUGUUUCUUCUUGGUAAUAACUACAGUUGGUUUUUUCACUUAUGAAUUUUAAACCAGAGGGCACUUAUCUAAUGUUAGGAUACUUUUCUUAGUUAACAAUGGUAUUAAACAGUUUAAGAAACAAAUAUCAAGGUAGGUUCAGUUGAAGUUAAAGAAUAGAUUUAUUUUUCUAGACAAAUUUCAGAUUAAGCUUUCUUAUUUCACCAGCAUAAGGGAAAAAAUACUAUAGUGCAUUUCAAAUAAAAGUGUGUUGUUAAAAACAUUUUAUACUUACUUUAUUUUACCGUUUUAAUCAUUUUGAAUUUUUUUUUUUUUCGAUGUCGGUCUUUAUCAUGGCUGUCUUGCAGUCGCCAACGCUUCUCACAUUCAGUCUCUGACAAUAACUUCUCAUGUUUCUGCCUCUUUUUUCUUUUUCUGUUUUUUUUUUUUUUCGUAGGCAUCGUUUUACUUGCGUCGCCAUUUUACCCAUGUUCUCUCUCCAGAGGGUCGAGUGUCGUCGCAAUGUGAUGAUUGCUAAUCUAACAUCAGGCUGUGUGACUGACUGAGGAGCCGUAUUCUGAUUCUACACGCUUUCUGCAUCCAGGACUUGAUCGACUUUUUUUAAUUCUACUUUUUGUUCUUUUUUUCCCUUCUAUGAGGCCGAACAAAGGGAGAUAACUUUAGUUUACUAGUCAUAGAGCAGCAGUUACUUAUCUCCCCUACUUAGGCCUCGUGCUAUCAUGCAAAAACACUUUACCACUUGUCGACUGAUUGUGUUUGGAGCCAGUUUGACCUGUUGAGUUCUUUAGUUAUUUUAAAUCUGGGUCAGAAAAGAGAAAUAAAAAUGUCGUCAGAUGGAUUAGCCAGAUGUAGAGGUUAUUUACA